rnacentral:rRNA from 1 species
CUACGGAGGGUGCGAGCGCUAAUCGGAAUUACGGGGCGUAAAGCGCGCGUAGGCGGUUUGUUAAGUCGGAUGUGAAAUCCCCGGGCUCAACCUGGGACCUGCAUCCGAUACUGGCAGGCUAGAGUCUGGUAGAGGGGGGUAGAAUUCCUGGUGUAGCGGUGAAAUGCGUAGAUAUCAGGAGGAAUACCAGUGACGAAGGCGGCCCCCUGGACUGAGACUGACGCUGAGGUGCGAAAGCGUGGGGAGCAAACAGGAUUAGAAACCCUAGUAGUCC